GGAAUGCUUGGGAAUCUGCCUCGUAGUGGGGGAUAACGUUCCGAAAGGAACGCUAAUACCGCAUACGUCCUACGGGAGAAAGGGGGGGAUCUUCGGACCUCUCGCUAUGAGAUGAGCCCAAGCGGGAUUAGCUAGUUGGUGAGGUAAAGGCUCACCAAGGCUACGAUCCCUAGCUGGUCUGAGAGGAUGAUCAGCCACACUGGAACUGAGACACGGUCCAGACUCCUACGGGAGGCAGCAGUGGGGAAUAUUGGACAAUGGGCGAAAGCCUGAUCCAGCCAUGCCGCGUGUGUGAAGAAGGCCUUCGGGUUGUAAAGCACUUUAAGCGAGGAGGAAGGUCCGUUACUUAAUACGUAACGGAAUUGACGUUACUCGCAGAAUAAGCACCGGCUAACUCUGUGCCAGCAGCCGCGGUAAUACAGAGGGUGCAAGCGUUAAUCGGAAUUACUGGGCGUAAAGCGCGCGUAGGCGGUUGUGUAAGUUGGAGGUGAAAUCCCCGGGCUCAACCUGGGCAUUGCCUUCAAAACUGCACGGCUAGAGUAUGGGAGAGGAAGGUAGAAUUCCAGGUGUAGCGGUGAAAUGCGUAGAGAUCUGGAGGAAUACCGAUGGCGAAGGCAGCCUUCUGGCCUGAUACUGACGCUGAGGUGCGAAAGCAUGGGGAGCAAACAGGAUUAGAUACCCUGGUAGUCCAUGCCGUAAACGAUGUCAACUAGGUGUUGGGGAACUUGAUUCCUUAGUGCCGCAGCUAACGCAUUAAGUUGACCGCCUGGGGAGUACGGUCGCAAGACUAAAACUCAAAUGAAUUGACGGGGGCCCGCACAAGCGGUGGGGCAUGUGGUUUAAUUCGAUGCAACGCGAAGAACCUUACCUACUCUUGACAUCCAGAGAAUCCUGUAGAGAUACGGGAGUGCCUUCGGGAAUUCUGAGACAGGUGCUGCAUGGCUGUCGUCAGCUCGUGUCGUGAGAUGUUGGGUUAAGUCCCGCAACGAGCGC
rnacentral:rRNA from 1 species